rnacentral:rRNA from 1 species
GAUGAACGCUGGCGGCAGGCCUAAAACAUGCAAGUCGAACGCCCUAGCAAUAGGGAGUGGCGCACGGGUGAGUAACGCGUGGGAACGUGCCCUUCAGUACGGAACAACGUCGGGAAACUGACGCUAAUACCGUAUAAUAUCUCCGGAUCAAAGAUUUAUCGCUGAAGGAUCGGCCCGCGUCUGAUUAGCUAGUUGGUGAGGUAAUGGCUCACCAAGGCUACGAUCAGUAGCUGGUCUGAGAGGAUGAUCAGCCACACUGGGACUGAGACACGGCCCAGACUCCUACGGGAGGCAGCAGUUAGGAAUAUUGGACAAUGGGCGAAAGCCUGAUCCAGCCAUGCCGCGUGUGUGAUGAAGGCCUUAGGGUUGUAAAGCACUUUCGUUGGGGAUGAUAAUGACCGUACCCAAAGAAGAAGCCACGGCUAAAUUCGUGCCAGCAGCCGCGGUAA